rnacentral:tRNA from 1 species
UUCCCGGUAGCUCAGUUGGUAGAGCGGAUGACUGUUAAUCAUUAGGUCGCAGGUUCGAAGCCUGCCCGGGGAG